GCACUAGUUCUCUAGUGCAUCUACUAAAAUUGGAACGAUACAGAGAAGAUUAGCAUGGCCCCUAAAAAAAAAAAAAAACACAAUUUUUU
rnacentral:snRNA from 1 species